rnacentral:snRNA from 1 species
GUACUCAUUUUGGCAGCACAUACUAAAAUUGGAACUAUAUAGAGAAGAUUAGCAUGGCCCAUGCACAAGGAUGACAUGCAAGUUCAUGAAGAAUUCCAUAUUUUU